rnacentral:lncRNA from 1 species
AAAGGACAAAAAUUACCAUUGAACUUUGAAGCUAGGCCUAAAGCAAAGAAUUAAAGAGUCUCUGAUUACAUAUUUCACUAAGGAUUCUAGAUGAGACACUUAGAACUCCUUAUGAAAUAUGCAAUAUUUCUUUCUGCUAUCUCUCUGUUGUCUUCUCUGACCUCUGUCAACAGAGGCUUGGCUCAGGCCUAUUCACCAUAGGCCUUGUUCUUGCCAAUCCUGCUUCAUUGGCUCAAGAGAUGGACACAAAGGGAUUGAUGAUGUCAAGACUGAAGAGCUCCGUGUGGUCUGGCCACAUCUUGAUUAAUCAAGAUGGCAGAGGCAAAGCAGCUGAAAAGAUCAUCCAUACACUGCUCCUACUGGCCCUUGGGAGCCAUGGUGACUGCCCUACCUUGUCCUGCUUGAGUCUGCCGAUCUCAAAUGCUCUGUAAGGCAACUGCGGCAGCUCCACCGGUGGAGGGAAAGACUAAGGGAGUCCUCCAGCAACUGUUCUGGGCAAGGAGCGGCCCAGAAAGCCCACGGUGAGCCUCAGAGGUGCAGAGGGGAGGCCUGAGGACAAGUUUCUUUGCCUCCCGGGACCCUGGCUGCUGCUCCUAACCCUGUGUGAACAAAUGCUUCCACAUGGCAAGAGCUCCCUAGGUAGCGACAUGGGCAGAAAACCACCCAGAAGUCUCCCCUUUAAAAAAAAAUGGUGGUGAAAUAUACACAACACAAAAUGUACCAUCUUCUCCUUCCAGUUCAGUGGCAUUCAGCACAUUGCCAUGGCUGUGCAACCAUCACCAACCCCCGAUCUCCAGAACCUUUUCAUUUUCCCUAUGGAUUCUCUGUACCCAUCAAACAUGAACUCCCCAUUCCCCUCCCCCAAGCCCCUGGUAGCCAUCCUCCUGAGGCAUCCUGACUACUCCGGGUGCCGUCAGAUACAUGGUAAAGUAUUUGUCCUUCUGUGUCUGGCUUCUUUCAGUUAACAUAAUGCCCUUCUCACCACUUGAAGGCCACUAUUUUCUCUGUUUAGGACUACUUCAGUAGCCCUUUAACUAUUCACCACACUACUGCUCUUUUCCCUAUAAUCUAUUUUCAACAGAGCAGCUAAAGUGAUUAUUUUAAAAUGUCAGAUCAUAUCACACUCUCCCUAUAAACCUCUAAUAGCU